UGGAAGAGCAAGCUUGUCUGGCCCCAGAACUGACACCUGCAGAGCAGGGAGAAGGCCCCCAGCACCCAGGCCAGCAGCCAUGCAGAGGAGACUGGGGGCUCUGCUGGGGCUUCUGUGGGUGCAGGUUUGCUGGGUGAGAGGGCAGCAGGUGGAGCAGAGUCCUUCAGCCCUGAGUCUCCAGGAGGGAACCAGUCAUACUCUGACCUGCAAUUUUUCUACUACCAUUUACAAUGUGCAGUGGUUCCGACAGAAUCCUGGGAGUGGCCUCAUCCGUCUGUUUUAUGUGACUUCAGGGACAAAGCAGGAGGGAAGGUUAAAGGCUACAGUGUAUUCUAAGGAGCGCUACAGCACCCUGCACAUCUCCACCUCCCAGCUGGAAGACUCAGGCACCUACCUCUGUGCAGUAGAGGCACAGUGCUCCCAGGGGACCCGCAGCCUGUCCCCAAACUGCAGCUGCACCUGCAGCCACAGCCUCUGCCUCAGGAAGGACUUGGCCAGCAGUGUGUGCACAGCUGUGGGUGUUCUGAUUCACAUCCUAGCACUGUCACCUCUGCUAACAGGAGACUUCAUCCCACUUGGGUUGAACCUUUUUCCUCCUAGAAACCCUUUGCAGGAAAAAUUUCUAAUAAGGAAGCAUUGCAGCAAUUGA